rnacentral:rRNA from 1 species
GAUGAACGCUAGCGGCAGGCUUAACACAUGCAAGUCGAGGGGCAGCGCGGGAUAGCAAUAUCCUGGCGGCGACCGGCGGAAGGGUGCGUAACGCGUGAGCGACAUGCCCGUUGCCCGGGGACAACCGGUGGAAACGCCGACUAAUCCCCGACGGGAUAUUGUGCCGCAUGGCACGAUAUUGAAAGUUACGGCGGCGACGGAUUGGCUCGCGUCCGAUUAGCUUGUUGGCGGGGGAACGGCCCACCAAGGCCGCGAUCGGUAGGGGUUCUGAGAGGAAGGCCCCCCACAAUGGGACUGAGACACGGCCCAUACGCCUACGGGAGGCAGCAGUGAGGAAUAUUGGUAAAUGGGCGGAAGCCUGAACCAGCCAUGCCGCGUGCGGGAAGGAGGCCCUAUGGGCUGUGAACCGCUUUUGCCUGGGGGCAAUAAGGGCGUCGCGCACGUCCGAUGAGAGUACCAGGCGAAUAAGCAUCGGCUAACUCCGUG